AGGGUUCGAUUCUGGCUCAGGAUGAACGCUAGCUACAGGCUUAACACAUGCAAGUCGAGGGGCAGCAUGAUCGAAGCUUGCUUUGAUUGAUGGCGACCGGCGCACGGGUGAGUAACGCGUAUCCAACCUUCCCUAUAGUAGAGGAUAGCCCGGCGAAAGUCGGAUUAAUACUCUAUGUUUUCCGAAGCAGACAUCUAAUUUGGAACAAAGGUUCACCGCUAUAGGAUGGGGAUGCGUCUGAUUAGGUAGCAGGCGGGGUAACGGCCCACCUAGCCGACGAUCAGUAGGGGUUCUGAGAGGAAGGUCCCCCACAUUGAAACUGAGACACGGUCCAAACUCCUACGGGAGGCAGCAGUGAGGAAUAUUGGUCAAUGGGCGAGAGCCUGAACCAGCCAAAAGUAGCGUGCAGGAUGACGGCCCUAUGGGUUGUAAACUGCUUUUAUACGGGGAUAAAGUGAGGGACGUGUCCCUUUUUGUAGGUACCGUAUGAAUAAGGACCGGCUAAUUCCGUGCCAGCCGCCGC
rnacentral:rRNA from 1 species